rnacentral:lncRNA from 1 species
GGAACGAGAGACCGAGCUGGGAGCCAUGCCGCGCUGAGAGGGGGGGCCGCACCGCCAGCGCCACCACCACCACCGCCACCGCCGCCGGGUGGGGUGGGAGGGGCGGGAGCCACCGCUACCGCCGCCGCCUCCCGGGUGGGCGCCCUUCUCCUCGGACGCCAACGACCCAGGACGAGGGCUUCGUUGCCGUAAAUGGUUGCAAACCGAUGAGACUGCACCUCCUGAAAAAGACAGACAGCCCAUCGCGUGAGCUUUAGAGUCUGUGGACGCAUUUAUACUGGGUUCAUAGUGGCGCAAUGCACGCAGACUCCUGCGAGUUCCCCUAAGUUCUUAGCGGACUGCUUUGCCUUUUGAAUCAGAGAGUUGCAAAGUUCGAUAAAGAAUGGCCCUUGUGGAUAAGCACAAAGUCAAGCGGCAGCGUUUGGACAGGAUUUGUGAAG